GGGGUACGAGAAGGCAGCUACACAGCGAUGUGAUGCUAAUCCCAAAAGCCUCUCUCAGUUCGGAUUGGAGUCUGCAACCCGACUUCGUGAAGCUGGAUUCGCUAGUAAUCGCGCAUCAGCCAUGGCGCGGUGAAUACGUUCCCGGGCCUUGUACACACCGCCCGUCAAGCCAUGAAAGCCGGGGGUACCUGAAGUACGUAACCGCAAGGAGCGUCCUAGGGUAAAACUGGUAAUUGGGGCUAAGUCGUAACAAGGUAUC
rnacentral:rRNA from 1 species